ensembl:lncRNA
CCCCAGAGAUCAACACAAGCAGGCCGCUAACAACAGACAAGGACAAGGCUGAGGUAAUCAACAACUCUUUUGCUUCAGGCUUCACUGGUGACUGCUCUACACACAGCGGAUGGUUUGGAAGGUGGGAACUGGGGGAGCAGUGUCCCCCGCCGCUGUACAUGAAGAUGAGCGUGGUGACCCGAGGAACCCAAACAUCCAUAAGUCUAUGGGUCCCAACGAGAUGCAUCCCAGAGUCCUGAGGGAAAUGAUUGAUGUAGUCACCAAGUCACUCUUGAUGAUAUUUGAAGAGUCAUGGAUGCAGAUGAAGUCUCUGGUAAAUAGAAGAAAGGCAACAUCACACUCACUUUUAAGAAGGGUAGGAAGGAUCAUCCAGGGAACAACCAACCUGUCAGCCUCACCUCUGUGCCAGGGAAGGUGAUGGAGCAGAUCCUCCUGGAAGCUGUGCUAAGGCACAUGGAAGAGAGGGAGGCAAUAUGGGUUUGGCUUCACCAAGGGCAGCUUCACCAAGGGCAGCUCCUGCUGGACCAACCCAUGGCCUUCUUUGCUGGUGUCACUGCGUCAGUGGGCAAGGGAAGAAGCAUUGAUGUCAUCUCUCUGGACUUCAGUAAGGCCUUUGACAUGGUCUCCUAUAAUAUCCUUCUCUCCAAAUUGGAAAGAUAUGGAUUUGAUGGGAGGACUGUUCAGUGGAUGAGGAACCGGAUGUGAGAUCAUACCCAGAGAGUGGUGGUCAGCGGCUCAGUGUCUGGGUGGAGAUCAGGGAUGAGUGGCCCCUCAGGAGUCAGUACUUGGACCAGUGCUCUUCAACAUCUUCACCAACGACACUGACAGUGGGAUCGAGUGCACUCUCAGCAGAUUUUGAAUGACACCAAGCUGUGGGGUGCGACUGACACGCCUGAGGGAUGGGAGGUCAGAGAGACCCAGGCAGGCUGAGCAGUGGGCCCAUGAGAACCACAUGAGGUUCAACAAAUCCAAGUGCAAGAAAAUAAACUCAUUAGCUGUGUAUGUGCACUCCCUCACCCUGCGGGCCAUGCUGCUUUUGAUGCAGCCCAGGAUAUGGUUUGCUGUCUGGGCUGUGAGGGCACAUUGCUGGCUCAUGUCCAGCUGCCACCCGUCAGUACCCCCAGGUCCUUUUUGGCAGGGCUGGGCUCCACCCUUACAGCCCCCAGCUUGUGCUGGUAGCAGGGGUUGCCAUGAUCCAGGUGCAAGACCCUGUACUUGGAUUUAUUGAACCUCAUGAUGUUCUCCUGGGCCCACUGCUCGUGCCAUUUAGUGGGCUGUGUCACAUGGAAAUUUUCUUUAUUUUUCAGUAGGGAGAUGUGUCCUGCUGGGCGGUGAAGCCCAGGGCUGUUCUGGGAGCUCUGAGGUGCUCGGUGUUGUGUGCCCACACGGUGGCACUGCCUUGAAGCGAUGCAUGGCCCAGCCCCCUGAACGUGUCUUGCAGUCCUGGAUGUACAUUUAGAGGCCUGUGCUGGAUUGAUGUGGCAAGGCGGUGGUGGUGGGGAGCAUGCUGCAAGACUGGCCCAGCAGCUGUCCCAUUUCAGACCAGAUCCAGCUUCAGCUCCAGCUCCAGCUGCUCCAAAAGGGAGCUGCCACUGCCAGAGCUGAGCCAUGAGUGAUGCUCGUUGUGCCUCUGGGACAGCACAUUGAAGAAAGGGAAGAACUGCUGUUACAGAGAGAGAGAAGUCAGAAACUGAGAGAGAAGCGGCUCUGGAUCAUGGAGGAGUGGCAGAGACAGAGCAUUAUGGUCUGGCCACAGCCCCAUUCCCUGUUCCCCUCCCCUGUGUUUCUCAAGCAAAGGAGGUAGAGGAGUGUUGAUGGGGGAAAGGUGUUUUCAUUGCUUUUAGUUCUCACUGCUCUGAUCUGGUAACAGUAUGCAAUAAAUUACAUUAAUCUCCCUUA